AUUGAACGCUGGCGGCAGGCCUAACACAUGCAAGUCGAACGGUAGCACAGAGAGCUUGCUCUCGGGUGACGAGUGGCGGACGGGUGAGUAAUGUCUGGGAAACUGCCCGAUGGAGGGGGAUAACUACUGGAAACGGUAGCUAAUACCGCAUAACGUCGCAAGACCAAAGUGGGGGACCUUCGGGCCUCACACCAUCGGAUGUGCCCAGAUAGGAUUAGCUAGUAGGUGGGAUAAUGGCUCACCUAGGCGACGAUCCCUAGCUGGUCUGAGAGGAUGACCAGCCACACUGGAACUGAGACACGGUCCAGACUCCUACGGGAGGCAGCAGUGGGGAAUAUUGCACAAUGGGCGCAAGCCUGAUGCAGCCAUGCCGCGUGUAUGAAGAAGGCCUUCGGGUUGUAAAGUACUUUCAGCGGGGAGGAAGGCGGUGAAGUUAAUAGCUUCACCGAUUGACGUUACCCGCAGAAGAAGCACCGGCUAACUCCGUGCCAGCAGCCGCCGUAA
rnacentral:rRNA from 1 species